UUUCCAUGAGGCCGAGAGAGGAUGACAUUAAUCUUCAGUACUGUUCUCUGGCACAGCGGUGUCCGGCCAGAUGAUGCCAGCCCACCAUGGUCUUCUGCACAGGGAGCUGUUGGAGGAAAGAGGACUCCUGAUGCUUUGAAGUCGGCGGGGGUCUGCUGAACUGAAGGGGGACAAUAAGCUAUGAAUUCAACAGACCGCUCUUUUGCCUGCCGACUCAGUCAUUUGUUCUCUAACGCGAUUAAACUUU